CUGGAGGUAUCAGAAGUGCGAAUGCUGACAUAAGUAACGAUAAAGCGGGUGAAAAGCCCGCUCGCCGGAAGACCAAGGGUUCCUGUCCAACGUUAAUCGGGGCAGGGUGAGUCGACCCCUAAGGCGAGGCCGAAAGGCGUAGUCGAUGGGAAACAGGUUAAUAUUCCUGUACUUGGUGUUACUGCGAAGGGGGGACGGAGAAGGCUAUGUUGGCCGGGCGACGGUUGUCCCGGUUUAAGCGUGUAGGCUGGUUUUCCAGGCAAAUCCGGAAAAUCAAGGCUGAGGCGUGAUGACGAGGCACUACGGUGCUGAAGCAACAAAUGCCCUGCUUCCAGGAA
rnacentral:rRNA from 1 species